rnacentral:piRNA from 1 species
GUUCCUGUGGAGGGUGGAGGGUGUC